rnacentral:tRNA from 1 species
GGGCGCUUAGCUCAGUGGUAGAGCGCUGCCUUCACACGGCAGAGGUCAUUGGUUCGAGACCAAUAGCGCCCA